GACGUAGGGGGCGAGCGUUGUCCGGAUUUAUUGGGCGUAAAGCGCGCGUAGGCGGCUCGUUAAGUCGGGGGUGAAAACCCGGAGCUCAACUCCGGGCGUGCCUCCGAUACUGGCGGGCUGGAGGCAGGUAGGGGAGAGUGGAAUUCCUGGUGUAGCGGUGAAAUGCGCAGAUAUCAGGAGGAACACCGGUGGCGAAGGCGGCUCUCUGGACCUGUCCUGACGCUCAGGCGCGAAAGCUAGGGGAGCAAACAGG
rnacentral:rRNA from 1 species